rnacentral:rRNA from 1 species
UACGAAGGGGGCUAGCGUUGUUCGGAAUUACUGGGCGUAAAGCGUGCGCAGGCGGCUUCUCAAGUCAGGGGUGAAAGCCCAGAGCUCAACUCUGGAAUUGCCUUUGAGACUGAGUGGCUUGAGUACGAGAGAGGUGAGUGGAAUUCCCAGUGUAGAGGUGAAAUUCGUAGAUAUUGGGAAGAACACCGGUGGCGAAGGCGACUUACUGGUCCAUGACUGACGCUGAGGCUCGAAAGCGUGGGGAGCAAACAGG